rnacentral:tRNA from 1 species
GCGCCGGUGGUGUAAGGCGUAGAGCAUUCCCGCCCAGUCAGGGGGAGGUGCAGGUUCGAAUCCUGCCUGGCGCU